rnacentral:rRNA from 1 species
GGAAUAUUAGUAAUGGGCGAAAGCCUGAACUAGCAACGCCGCGUGUGCGAAGAAGGCCUUCGGGUUGUAAAGCACUUUUUGAGAGGAUGAGGAAGGACGGUACUCUCAGAAUAAGUCUCGGCUAACUACGUGCCAGCAGCCGCGGUAACACGUAGGAGGCGAACGUUAUCCGGAUUUACUGGGCGUAAAGCGCGUGUAGGUGGUUUGCUAAGUAGGGCGUGAAAGCUCCUGGCUCAACUGGGAGAGGCCGUUCUAAACUGCCGAACUAGAGGAUGGUAGAGGGAGGUGGAAUUCCGGGUGUAGCGGUGGAAUGCGCAGAUAUCCGGAGGAACACCAGUGGCGAAAGCGGCCUCCUGGACCAUUCCUGACACUCAGACGCGAAAGCUAGGGCAGCAAACGG